CUCUCUCCUCUCUCCUCACUUUGACUAGUCAAUCCUCAUCCUCUCUCUCUCUUUUCUCUCUUAUCUCUCCUUCUCUCUCCUCUCUCUUCUUUCUUCCCCCUCACGACAGAACCAGCUUUUCUUCUCCUUCUUUUCUUCGCGUGCGAACCAGGAGCACGGAGAUCGCAGCUCGCCGAGAACCGCUCGCCGCUCGUCCCACCGCCGCACCGCCGCCCGCACCCGUGCGCCCGUCGCCGUCCCGCUGUCCGUCGCUCGCUGCCGCUCCUCCCUCCGCGCGAUCCAGCCAACCCAGCUGCUGUUCCGCACCGACCAGCCACUGUCCGGCCACCUCCGGCCACCGCAUAGCCCCGCCGGACCUCCCCCGCAACCCCCUCGCCCUCCGCCGGCUUCCCCUUGCCGCCCUAGCCGCCGGAGCAGCCCCGAUCAGCCCCGACCAGCAGACCCACGAAGUGGGUUUCCAGCACUUCGGGCCCGCUUUUGGACCAUUUCCCGGCCCCGAACCCGAGCCGUGCUUUGGGAACAAUCGUUCCUCGCGUCGCCGCCGUCGGAUUGAUCCGAUUUGCGCGCGAUUUGGUGAGUAAUCUCACUAAUCCAGGAUUAGUUGGCUAAUUAUGCUUGGUUUAGAUUUAAUUAAUUAUGUUUAGGUUGUUAGAUUAGAAUAAAUUAGCAAUUAUUAGUCAAUUGUGAUGUGAUUUAGAUAAAUUGAUUGUGUAAUUAGCAAGUAGACGUGGUCUACUAAUUAUUGGAAGUGCUUCGGGAAUUUUCCCGACCCUUAGUGGGCUCCAAUUAGGCUUUUCGGGCCUAAGUGGAUAUUUUUAGUAUUUAAAUAUUAAUUUUCGAAAUUAAAUUAAAUAAUUAUUUAUUUUCCGAAAAUUCAAGGGAGAUGGUUCGGAACCGAAAUAUUGUGCUGAUGACUGUGGUGAAGUCCGUUUAUUUAAUCGGGCUUUAAUUUGAGCUAAAUGGGAUUUUUAAUAUUAAUUAUUUAAUAUUCGAAAUUAAUUAAUUAAUUAUUUAUUUUCCGAAAAUUCAACUGAGAUGUUCUGAAACCGGAAUAUUGUGCUGAUGACCGUGGUGAAGUCCGUUUAUGUAAUAGAGCUUUAUUUUGAGCUAAAUUGAAUUUUUAAUAAUAAUUAUUUAAUUUUCGAAAUUAAUAAAUAAAUUAAUUAUUUUUCGGAAAUUAAGAUUUUGAUGGCCGAUGACCGAAAUCUCGUGCUGAUCGUCGUGGCGCAGUCCGUUUAUUUAUUUGAGCUCCACGUUGUAUGGAAUUGAAUAAAUUGUGAUAUUUUAGGGAUUUACCCUAAAUUGAUUGGAAUCGAUUGAGAUUGAAUUAUCGAUUGGUGAAUGGCCAAGUAUGUUUAUUCAGCAUUUAUAAUGCUUUGUUGAGUUAAUUUAAUUAUUUGAUUGAGUAUUGAUUGGUGAAUGGCCAAGUAUGUUUAUUCAGCAUUUAUAAUGCUUUGUUGACUUGAUUUAAUUAUUUGAUUGAGAAAUCGUUGGGCAUUGGUUGUCGAUAUUGAAAGUGAAUUGGUAACCACUGCAAAGAGGACACGUGGUUCGGUGAAUUGGAAUGUCACCUGGAAAAUGCACGUGAGUUCAGUAGUUGAAUAUGUCAUCUUGGCGAAAAGGUCGCCUGAGAGAAUGCACGUGGCUCGGAGACUCGGUAUGUCGUCCUGGAGAAUGCACGUGGCUCGGUGACAGAAUUGGGCAUCUAAAAGGGCACGUGGGCUCGGCGACUUGAUGCAUCGCUUUGGUGAAAUGCACCUGAGAGAAUGCAGGUGGGCCCGGGCAUCUAAAAGGGCACGUGGGCUUGGCGACUUGAUGCAUCGCUUUGGUGAAAUGCACCUGAGAGAAUGCACGUGGACCCGGGCAUCUAAAAGGGCACGUGGGCUCGGUGACUUGAUGCAUCACUUUGGCGAAAAGGUCGCCUGAGAGAAUUCACGUGGGCCCAAGGUUCGAGGCACGUGAACUCGGAGACUUGGAAUGUCGUCCUAGAGAAUGCACGUGGCCUCGCUUUUAGAUACUCCUCCGUGGAGAGUGAUUUGUAUGACAUGUAAUCGACUGGUUCGAUUUGUUUUGAGUAAAUGGAUGCCUAUUGUGAAUUGUACUGACUUGCAGGUGAGAUCUGAGGCCAAGGUAAGUCCUCUGCCCUGUGCGUGUUUAGGCAGCCUUUAGUAUAAUAGUUUACUAAUCGGGCUUAGUGGGGUAGAACUCGCUGAGACGUAGUCUCAUCCCAGUUUGGGGAAAACCAUUUCAGGACCCCGCUGAAGAGCUGAGGAGGAGGAAUCCGAGAAGGAGAACUCAGAGGUGAGAUCUGAAGAAAAGGAUUUUUGGAAGAAGAAGACAAUUCUGAGAGGGGCCUUGAGUACGGCCUAGUUCAUCUAAGUUUCUGUUUUCUUUUGUGAUCUCCGUUUUGAUGUGAAUAGUUUUGAAGUGGUUUGUGUUUUGUAUAAAAGUUUGGUUAUAAAUUUCAAUAUGAAAAAUAUGGCCCUGCUUUUCUAUCCCAUUGAUUUAUUGUCUGGGGAUUUUAACUGCUUCCGCAUGUGCUUAAUAAAUGAAAGGGUCGGCGAUACUAGUCCUGGGAUAUCGCAUUAUAAAAUCGAC
rnacentral:lncRNA from 1 species